rnacentral:lncRNA from 1 species
GCGCAGACGGCAAGGAUCCGAAUCUAAAAGUGUGAUCCAAUCAACUCCAAUCAGCCCUAAUAUAUGGCACAAAAAGCUGCGAUAGUGAUUCACGGUAGAGGUGAUUGCUACGAUUGCUUCUGGGUUUUUGUAUGGAGGGAGUCGGGAUCAAUCUGGGAGUUGAACCUACGCUACGGGUUGACGACGUCGCUACGAGAGAACAUGUGAGGAAGGAUGAGGAUGUUGGACCAGUAGUCGGCCCACCUGGGGUAGUGUUGGAAAUAUGCCCUAAAACAAAUCAUAUGAUGAUACUUUACGGACAUUUCACAUGUUAAACUAAUCUAGUUUAAUAUCAAGGGCAAAGAUUAUUGUUUGAGCCGUCUGAUAUAAAUGUUAUACGCUUAAACGAUAAGUCCAAGGAAUAUGUGAUUGGGAGAAUCUGAUCUAAAGAAGUUAGAUUCAUGAGACCAUUUUUUCGUAGACACAUCCUAAACGUUCCUGAUCAUAGGAUUGUCAAUUGGGCAUUGACAAUCCGUUAAGAUCAGUACGUGCUGUGUCUUCUCUCAGGAAGAGUGACUAGUCUCAAGUCAUUGGUGUGUGUGACAUCAAGACAAGCAUGUAGGUG